rnacentral:rRNA from 1 species
CCUACGGGAGGCAGCAGUGGGGAAUUUUGGACAAUGGGCGCAAGCCUGAUCCAGCUAUUCCGCGUGUGGGAAGACGGUCUUCGGGUUGUAAACCACUUUCGUAGAGGACGAAAAGUCUAUUGAUAAUACAGAUAGACGAUGACGGUACCCUAAGAGUAAGCACCGGCUAACUACGUGCCAGCAGCCGCGGUAAUACGGAGGGUGCGAGCGUUAGUAGGAAUUACUGGGCGGAAAGGGUGUUCAGGCGGUUUUGCAAGAUGGAUGUGAAGGCCCCGGGUUUAACCUGGGAAAGCCAUACAUGACUGCAAGACUAGAGUGCGUCAGAGGCGGGUGGAAUUCCAAGUGUAGCAGUGAAAUGCGUAGAUAUUUGGAGGAACACCGAUGGCGAAGGCAGCCCCCUGGGACGCAACUGACGCUCAUACACGAAAGCGUGGGGAGCAAACAGGAUUAGAUACCCGUGUAGUC